AUGCAGGUAAUUAUGAUAGCUGUAGAAAUAAUAUUUACUUUAAAUAAUCCUGAAAGAAAAUUUACUCUCUUACAAAGAGAUCGCUUUACCCAAGAGAGUAAAUUAAGCCCGGUUUUAUAUUCUUUAUACUUCUUAUAUUUAGAAUCUGACCUUAGUCAGAAGUGGAAAUUUAUUUUCAGUAGAGUAAAUUUGGAAAAGUUAGUUUCUCAGCCUGGUCUAAGAAUGGAACAACGUUUUAAAUAUUUUUAGAUAUGAGAAGGUGGUUACCUUAUCAUUCACUCAUAUACUUCUUUGGUUAUUAGUGUUUACUGUUGGAUUAUUCUGUAUCAGACACUGUGCCAGGAAAUAUAAGGAAUAUAACUCAUUGUCCCUGCUUUUGAGGAGUCCACAUGAACUUGGAAGAAACAAGUAAAUACAAUGUGAUAUGAUAAUUUUGUUAAUGUAAGAUCAGUACUCUGGGAGAAUGACUUUUUAUAGGCUUCAGAAAUAAGGUGAUAUUUUAAGUGAAUUUUGGUUUUUGUUUUGACUACACCCACGGCAUGAGGAAGUUCCCAUGCCAGGGAUCAAACCCAUACCACAGCAGUGACAAUGCCAGAUCCUUAACCUAUUGUGCCACUGGAGAACCCUUUAAGUGAAUUUUGAAUGAUGAAUAGGAAGUUAAUGAAAGAGAGGUGAGUUAUGAGGGGAAGUAUAAAACCACCCUUUAACCUGACUUGUUAAGUGAGGAGCUUGCUUGCUUGGGGAGUAUUGUAUAGAGCCAUAGCUGAUGAAAGUGGCCUUUGGCCAAAGCAAAAGGUAAAACUGAUUAUAUAGGAGAGAAUCAGAGGUCACUUAACAAAAGAUGUAUUUUUAAACAGGGCAUCUCUUUCUGGGAUGGAGAUUAGAGGGUUGAUUGAAUAGAGCAGGAAGCAGUGAGUGAACCAAACAAAUUGGAAGGUAAUGGUUGAGAGCACGUAUCUGGAAUAACAGACUUAAAUUUUAGAUGUCAUUAGAUCUUAUUUGUCAUCGAAAUCUGAUAACAGAAGGGACAGGUGCAUUUAAAGAGCCAAAUAUAUGGUACAAAGCAAGGCUAUGGAGAGAAUGAUAUUUUUGUUAACUGGAGUAGGGAGGAAAAAUAGAUUAGGGUGGUAGGUGGAGGAGAGAGAAGGAUUUUAGUUUGGAACAUACUGCCUGUGGAAUAUGUAUGGAGAGAUACACUGAAACAUAAAUGUUUUGUUUACUCAUUUGUCAUACAGAACAGAUAAUGUUUUGCCCUCCCUAGUCCACAAGGAUGUUGUAAGGCAUUACACGAAAGACUAGAAAUGGAAUAGCCUUGACAAAUAGAAAACAAUGUACAAUGGGCAGAGUUAUUUGGGUUAUAUUUGCUAAGUGCACGUUUUCCAAGGAAGAAUGUCAAGAAAAGCUAAUCAUAGAUAAAUUAUGCACUUUAACCACUUGCUGGGCCAGGCUUUACUUGAAGGGCAAGAAUGUCAUUUGAGUAUAAGAACUCAUUACUCAUAUAGAGACAUGUUCAGCUUCUUUUUCAAUGCAUACUACAGCUUCCAAGAGCAGUUUCUAGUGGAGUUUAAUGAAAACAUAGCAGAGAGAAUGAGAAUAUUUAUUUUUAUUAUUUUUGGCUCAUAUUGGAGUGGGAGCUAAUGGAUAUCUUCUUAAAAAAUCAAACAAAAUCUCUCUGAUGGAAGCAGUCUCAAUUCUCUACUCAGCAUGACUUUAUAUAAAUGUGGUUGGAGUUUUUUUUUUUUAAUAAAAAUCAUUUUUCUGUAACUGUAGAUUACAUGCAUAUCAACUGCAAUGACUUUUAAACCAAGGCAAGUGUUGUAAUCUUUCAUUGUGCUGUAUGUGUGUUGCUGUGGUAACUAGUUUCAGAAGAGGAGUUUGCAGUUAUAUUUGAUGGAACACACCAUAUCUGCUCACUUUCAUUCAGAUUCUAAUAGUGCUGCCAAAAGGCUGCAUUAGAAUUAUGAGAAUGUUCUCCAUACUCAAAUAGAUGUAGGACAGGCCUCAUAGUAGAGGCUUUGGCCACCAGAUCUGGUAAGAGUGUGCUCUAAAGGUUAGAUCACGUAAAAUAAUUGGAUUGUAUUUGGUCCAAAAAUUUAAAAGUCCCUUUAGAGUUUUUCUUGGUUUGGUUUGUUUUGUUUCAUUUUAAGGAACAGCUUAAUCUUGAGUUCUCAUGGAGGAAAAAAAAAAAAAUUACUGAUAAUGCCAGGAUGUUAAUUUCUUUCCUGUCUGAAACAAGCCAAAUUCUUGAGGAUUGCAAGACGGAGGACAGACACUCAGUGUUUGUCAUAUAGAUGCUUAAUAAAUUUGGGAUUAAAAUUAUAUUGACAGAGUGGGGAUCUUUUGGGUCGUGGCUUUCUUUGAGAAUGUGGUGAAAGCUGUAAGUCCCCCACAAAAAGAAUGUAUCAGCACAUAUAAUCACUAAUUUUAGCAUGUGUUUUCAUGGAGUUCAGUCAUGCCCAGGAGCACAUCCUUGAACUCCAAGUUAAAAAAAAAAUUUAGUAGUAGGGAAAUGUUAAAUAUUUGAUCCGUGGAUUUCUAGGAACAGAAAGGAAGAGGUAAAUUUUUUGUGUGGCCCAGAGGAUGACUGAAUUUACCUUGACUGUCCCACCUAAACAUCAUCUACCCAAUCCUGCCCUUAGCAAACAUCCAGUCACACUUUAUGAGAUAAGCUCAUUUAUUUCCUUUACAGCAAUUAGUAUAGCCCAAACUUAUUUCUCAUCAGCAUUUCUGUUGCAGCCUGUUCUUACUGGAACAUAAGUGCCUGAAGAUUUUAUAAAUAUGCUAACAGCUAUAUCUCUGGCAUCUAUAAAUUAUCCGACACAGUUUUGUUUAGGGAUUUUUAAAAUAAAUGAAUAAAUAAUACAGUAUUAUCUAGUUGGAAAGCCCAUAAACUGCCCCUUGGUAACAUAUAUGAAUUCACGUGAAGGCAAGAAUGGUGUAGGCAAAGAGCUGGCUGGAUAUGUACUACCAAGAUCAGCAUUUGGAUACAUUUCUACAACAUACUUAAAAUGGCUCAUGCUGCUUUUUAUCAGCUCAUUUUUUGCUCCAUUUUAAAGACUUUUGUCAUAGUUAUUUUCUGAAAAUGUCUGCAUGAUACAUGAUAUUUCCAAAUCUGAAUUAUGGCAGAGAGUGAUAUAUUAUGGCAAUGACUUAAUUAUUUAAAAAAAAUGUGUGCAAGCUUUUCUGGGAAGACGGUAGCAUUGGUAGGGCUACAACUUGGUACUGAACUGCGUGUGUGUGUGUGUGUGUGUGUGUGGUUUACUGGCAGAUUUCUUGCAGCACUGAAAUAUUCCCGCCAAGUUCUCCUUAUUAACCAUGUUGUUUUGCAUCUUUAACUGUGAAUGUUUUAAUGUGGUUAUAGUUGUGAAAGGUACUCUGUGCUUUCGACACCUUUCCAUCUUCUUGUAUUAUUUUCAAGUCAUGUUCAGUAAUAAUUUAUACUUGUAAAACUUAUUUGGCAGUUAAUGAACCGAGCUUCAUAGAGGAUAUGUUUUCUGCCAACUAGUUUGACAUUUUGGAGAAAAGGGAGGCUCCAAACAGGAUUAAAAUUCUAAACCUGAUGAAAAAGGGAUAAACUAUAUCAUGUGCCUUUAAGAUAUGAUUCAGAAAAGUCAGCCUGGUAAAUUCAGUUUGGGGAUGAUUUCUUUCUGAUAUUUAAAAAUAAACAGCUUUCUAUUCUUUAUUCAAGAGCUUGCCAUCAAUUGAAGUCAUUAUUUGAUAGAAAAAUAGCUAAAGAGUUUGGUUUUUUAAAUUUUGCUAUCAAUCGUAUUUAGAAUAUUUAGCAUUUGCAGAAACAAUUUAGUAAUCCGGAGUGCUAAGGACACUAGAUAAGUUUUUUUUUAAAUCUGCUAUUUAAGGACAAUGAAGCUAAGAGAUUAUUACUUGUAAAAUUUACCGUAGAAAAAUAACUGGUUUCAUUUAUUGCUGACCAUAAGUACAAUUGUAUAUUUAAUGUUAUGAAUUAUAAUAUAUA
rnacentral:lncRNA from 1 species